AGGGCCGAGGCGCCGGCUAUGGCGGUCGAGCGGCGGCCGCCAUUUUGUGUGUGUGGAGGCCGGCUCCGGGCCUCGCUGCCCGCCGCGGAGGCGGGGGUGCGCGGCGCGGCGAGGCCGCCAAACCACAGCCGGAUUCCCGGAGGGGGUUCUCCCUGGCUGGAUCCAGUGGAUCGCAGUUAAUAUGGCCUCCCCUCGCCUGCUGCCGUCUACCAAGGCAGCAGUUACUGCUGUGGUGCUUGGAGACACUUAAAAACAAAAGCGUUUGCCUGUUGCCAGGGCCGAAGGGAUAACUUUUCAAGCUGAUAAUAAACUGGAGCGAACCUUG